UGGUGUUGUUUGUAGCUUGUAGGUCCUUGCAGCUGGGUGCAGUCCACUAGCUGGGUGAGAGUAGGUGUCGCCGUAUCUGGAUUCGACGAUCGUAGUGCAUGAGGGACCCAGGUCAAAUAGCUAGGACAUCAGAUUGGAUUAACACCGACAUUGGCCAACAACUACAUUAAUGGGGACCAACAACGAAUAACUUUUGUUUCAUUUAUUUAAUUUUUAUAAUAUACAAGAAUGACUCCCCGUUCCUUUAUAAACUGUCUGUGCCUUGGGCAUCGAGCUGUCACUAUUUUAAAUGGGAGCUCACGUCACAUCCGGAUGGAGAUGCAAAGUAUUGCAUCACAGGCUGAAAUUGGUUUUAAACCCGCAAGUUGCUGUGGUGACAAAGAUGACAAGGCAUGAAUUCGAGCAGCAAAGAUAUCGCUUUUCAGAGCUCUCAGAAGAGGACCUAAAACAACUGGAAAUAGGGGAUUGAGGUGUGUGUGGAGAAGAGAGGGGAAUAUGAUGAAGAAACAGUGCGAUGAGCAGACGCCAUUAUCUCGGCAGGGGGCAAGUGUUCCCGUUUUAAGAGUUUGAGAAUAAUAGCUGAUCCUUUAUGUGGCCAUUGUGAAAGCGCUAAUAGUGUUUCAGUUGGUGACGUCACUCGCUCUGAGACCUAGAAGUAGUUGUUCCCCUUGCUCUGCAAGGGCCGUGGCUUUUGUGGAGCGAUGGGUAACGAUGCUUCGAGGGUGACUUUUGACGUGUGCAGAGCGUCCCUGGUUCGCGCCCAGGGCGAGGGGACGGACGUAAAGUCUAUACUGUUACAUUUACAUGGUCACGUUCCCGCUGAGGGGUAAAAAAACAAUUCAAAAUAAAUUGCGUUCAUACAGUGCUCAGAGAAGGGUCAACUCAAUUCAUGAAUAGGCCAAUUUGUUUGCCCCCUUCUGUUAGGGGAUGGGACCAUACUACUACUUGUUGCCAGUAAGGUUUUCAAUAAAGACCAAUCGGUUCUUGGGGUUAACACAGACCCUGAAAGGUAAUAACUCACAACAAAAUUGGUUAGUGAAUAUAGUGGUGAUAUGGGUUUGGGCAGGUGGUAAGUUUACUUGCCUGGUAAGGUUCUUAGCUAGUUUAGAAGAGACAGGUUGGGGAAUUCAUUGUUGUGAAUUUCAGCAUUUUUGUUAUAGAAUGAGAGGAGAUAAAUAACUUUAUCUAGUUUGAUGAAAAAAGUGCUCAUAUUACAAGUGUCUUUUUUUUCUUCUUUUUUUUUGUUGCAUGAAGGUCAGAGGGACAUCUGUGCCUUCCUGUGUGUUAAACACAUGCCUUCCCUGAGGCACUACAGAAACUCAGUUGUGGUCAGUUCAGGUGGGAUUUUCCCUUUCACUUCCCUGACCAGAAUACUGCUGUUAGGAAGGCUAUGUUUAUGUUAGAGGUCGACCGAAUAUGAUUUUUCGAUACCGAUUAUUGGAGGACCAAAAAAAGCCGAUAUCGAUUAAUUGGACGAUUUUAAUAAAAAUGUAUAAUAA